rnacentral:rRNA from 1 species
GGGGGGGGGGGGGGGGGGGGGGGGGGCAGGGGGGGGGGGGGGAGGGGCCGGGCGGGUGGGGGGGGCUCGGGUGGCGAGCGGGGGCGUUGCCCGUGAGUACCCUGCCCUUGACUUUGGGGUAGCUUCAGGCCCCUGGUGCUACGCCCGGGUCUGCGCUCCUGCUGCAUGGUUGGUGUUUGAAACUUUCGGCGGUUGGGGUUGGACUGGCGGGUGGUCCGCUUGUUGGUGGGGCAGUGGCUUACCAAGGCUUUGACGGGUGGCCGGCCUGAGCGGGCGACAGGCAACAUUGGGACUGAGAUACGGCCCAGACUCCUACGGGAGGGAGCAGUGGGGAAUAUUGAAAAGUGGGCGGAAGCCGGAUGCAGCAACGCCGCGUGCGGGAUGAAGGCCUUCGGGUUGUAAACAGCUUUCGCCUGUGACGAAGCGUGAGUGACGGUAAUGGGUAAAGAAGCACCGGCUAACUACGUG